rnacentral:tRNA from 1 species
AAUUAAAUAAGCUAUUAUUAAGCUAGUGGAUUCAUAAUCCAACAAUGGAAACUUCCUUUAAUUA